UACGUAGGGGCAAGCGUUGUCCGGAAUCAUUGGGCGUAAAGCGCGUGUAGGCGGUCCGGUAAGUCGGCUGUGAAAGUCCAGGGCUCAACCCUGGGAUGCCGGUCGAUACUGCCGGACUAGAGUUCGGAAGAGGCGAGUGGAAUUCCCGGUGUAGCGGUGAAAUGCGCAGAUAUCGGGAGGAACACCAAUGGCGAAGGCAGCUCGCUGGGACGUUACUGACGCUGAGGUGGCGAAAGCGUGGGAGCAACAGG
rnacentral:rRNA from 1 species